GGAGAGGUGGCCGAGUGGUCGAAGGCGACCGCUUGCUAAGCGGUUGUACGGAUAAAACCGUACCGUGGGUUCAAAUCCCACCCUCUCCGC
rnacentral:tRNA from 1 species